rnacentral:rRNA from 1 species
CCAGGCGAUCUAUCCAUGAGCAGGUUGAAGGUUGGGUAACACUAACUGGAGGACCGAACCCACUGUCGUUGAAAAGCCAGGGGAUGACUUGUGGAUAGGGGUGAAAGGCUAAUCAAGCCUGGUGAUAGCUGGUUCUCCCCGAAAGCUAUUUAGGUAGCGCCUCGGACGAAUACCAUAGGGGGUAGAGCACUGUUUCGGCUAGGGGGUCAU